GGGGCUUCUCGGCCUUUUGGCUAAGAUCAAGUGUAGUAUCUGUGAGGUUCAUGGGGAAUUCUCCAUAGGGCAGUGUGUCUUUUUCAUUACCCCUACUUAUAAAUCAUCUCCUAGAUUUUUAUGAAAAUAGACCUCUA
rnacentral:snRNA from 1 species